UAUAGAGAUAGGGUCUGCUAUAUUGCCCAGGCUGUUCUUGAACUUCUCACCUCAAGCAAUCCUCCUGCCUCAGUUUGCCAAAGUGCUGGGCUUACAGAAGAACAUCGAGGGGAAACAACUUUUACUUGAUCGGAGGAUAACGGAACUAUUCACUUCCCAAGGGUUCAACUGAAAGACCCUCCAAUCAGACUGACCUGUAUCUGCAACUCUCCUGAUGAGCUCUGAGCCUUCUCAGUGCUACAAAUACUUAUAUCAGGCAGAGGUGGGUUGGGAUCUAAAAUUUACUUAUCCUAAUAUGAGUAAGAUGAUUCUAUUACAUUCUUCCUAGAGAAUAUAUCCUUCAUAGAAAUAUAGGAAGAAAGAGCUUGCAUUUGGUUAGGAAUAUAGAUUAUGAACAACCUCCUUAUCCUGAAAGCUGAGAUAAUAUCGUGUCAUGUGGUAACAAAAAAUAAGAUAAUUUGUAUAAAGUAGUUAGUUUGUAGCAAAGUAUAUAGUAAAGUCAUAACGGCAGCAAGGAAAGAAAUAUUGAAGGAAAAUUUUAAAAGACAUUAGGUCAGUUGGUAUCUGUUUUUAGCAAGUAAACAAACAAGUAUACUUUCUCUUUUCUGCCAAUAAAUAGGUUAGGAAGCAGCUGGAAGGCAACAUCAUCUGGCUUCUAGGAGGUCACACCUUCAAUGAGUUAUUAUUUUAUUGCUCCUUGGGAGCCUCCACUGAACGUGGUGUUCUUUCACUUCUGAAAUUCCAGGGAAUUCUUUUCAGUAUAGAAAAUUGACAACUAGUGCUUUUUUAAUCAUAGAAGAUAGUGUUUGUUGACCCAACAUGCGAUCCAAAGUGGUUAGAAAGUCUUUCGCAAGUGUACUAAAAAUGGCUGCCACCUUCCCGUUUCCACCCCUCCACACACAGCUUCUUGUAAAUACCCCCUCCACACAUACCCCACCAUACAUGGUGUUCUCUCUGAUAAGAAGAAAGCUGUACAGACCACAUGACCUCAGCUCACCUUCAUUCUCCUCCAUGCCCAAGGCUGAGGCUGUGGUGGCCAGUCAUUUGUAAGCUGUUCAGGCACCUUCAGCAUGGCCUUGUUUGAAAAGAUAAGAGAUUAUCUUUGGGGAAUUUUGUAGGAAGGGAAUAGAGCAAUGAGCAGUGAAGCUGAAAGUUGAUGCUCCAGACAGAGACUAAGAUAGCCAUCAUGGAGAACGAUUUAAGCUUGUGGGAAAAUAGAAAGUAUGACUAUGAAUAAGUAUGAUGUAUAACAUAAAGACAUGAUUUGCAAUGUAGAGAAAAUAUUACAGAUUAGAAAGUGAAAACGCCAAAGGGGAGAGAUGAGGGAGUGAAGUAGAUUUCUACGUAGGUAGAGAGUUUAAUAUAAUGUAGACCAUGGAAUCCUUCCAUGUUCUCCAUCAUAAAAUUCAAAGAAACCUCAUGACUUACUCAAGAUGCCUGUAGGAGCAGGAGAUGCCAUUGUGUUUUGCCCAAACAUUUGUUUAUCAAUUUUUUUCUUUAAUGAAUGUGUACAUUUUCUAAAAUGAAUAUCAAAGAAUGCUUCAUUUGUUUAUGUAUUUAAAAUAUGUAUUGACUACCAAUGAUAUAUAACAGCCUCUGCUAGACUCAAUCCUAGUUCCAGUGCAUGCACUUGGAAUCCAAGGACCCUACUUGGCAGGGCUGACAGUUUUAUGUUAGGAGACAGCUAAGGAAGCAUAUUUAUGGAGCACAUGUGAGAUUUUGUUACAUGCAUAGAAUGUGUAAUGAUCAACUCAGGGUAUUUGAGAUGUCCACUGCUUUGAUUAUGUGUCAUUUCUAUGUGUUAGAUGCUGUGACACUGAUAAAGACAGGAUAUGUAAACGUGGGAGCUCAGAGGAGGAAUGUCCAGCUCCAACAGUUUGCUAGCUGUGGGGAAGAAAGGGUAAGGAAGUUUCCUCAGAGAAUUACAUCUGAGCAUAAUUAUGGCAUGCCAUCAACCUCAGCCAGGUGAAGGGCAAAGAGAAAUGCAUCCAUGAAAGCCUCCAGGAGACAGAUUGCAGUAUUCAGAAACUGCAGCAACAACAACAAAUCACAUAUUCCUGGAUGACAAGGUGUGAGAGGAGGAAUGAUGAGAGAGUUGUUGGACAGCAGGGGGAUUCAAACCAAGGACCAGCACAUGUGAGCUGGUUUUUGGCAUACUACAUAGUUUUGACUUCAACCUUACAACAUAGUAUUUUAAGUUAAAGAGCGAUAUGUUCAUAUUUGCAGCAGGGAGGUGGAGAAGUGUUUGUUGAGACAUUAAAAGAGCAGAAUUUACUGAACUUGGAAGGCUUAGCAUGGUACCCUGAUUUCUGGCAUCUCAGGGAGUUAAGGCAACAUGACGAGUAGGAGGAAUAGCAGUUAUUAUCAAGAGAAUGCAAAUGGCUUUGAAAUGUUGAGUUGGGGUUUCCAUGGGAUAUACAGGUAGAAAGCAGAGUCAGUAGUAAGAUACAAAUAGGUCUGGGACACAGGAGAGAAUCCCAAGAGGGGUAUUAAGCUUCCAUCUCUGUAAUAGUCAUAUGGUUGGGCAUUUCGUUUGCUUUGUGCUAUACAACUAUUUCAAGUUCUUUACAUUUUCUUUCCUUUCUUUUUCUUGAGACAAGAUCUUGCUCUGUCAUCCAGGCUGGAGUCCAGUGGUAUGAUCAUAGCUCACUUUGGCCUCAAACUCUUCAGCUCAAAUGAUCCUCCCACCUCAGCCUACUGAGUAGCUGGGACUGCAGGCAUGGACCACCAUGCCUGCUAAUUUUUUAUUUGUAUUUUUCUAUAGAGACAGGGUCUCACUGUGCUGACAGACUAGUCUCAUACUCCGGGCCUCAAGCAAUCCUCCUGCCUCUGCAUUUUCAAAUCUAAAAAAAAAAAAGCAGUUUAGAAAUUAUUCUCCUUAUUUAUAGAUCUAAGGGUCUAUAUUUUAUCAAGCUGUAGGGUCUAGAAAUCAAAUUUUGAGUGGACAAACAAAAUCAAGUUUCGUCUCAUGUAGAAAUGUGAAAGAAACAGGACACAGUUUACCUCGUUUUUAUGUGCAGCAGAGUGUUACUGUAAUAGGUUAGCGCAAAAAGGAAAAAUCCUAAAUUACAGUCACUUUGCCAUAAUUUUUAAUAUUUAUAUUCUCUCAUAGUUCUAUGGAUGACAUGCCCAUUAUAGACACUCUGAAACUGAGGAGAACCAGGGUUCUUUCUGCAUGUUUAUGUUGGAUGUGAAUAAGGUAAGAUUACUGCUUCUGUUGCACUGUGGAGCUCAACAUUAGGUCUAGCCAAUGUGGUUAGCUAUACUGUGUCUUCUACCACCACAAACAGAAAACCUUGGUAGCAAACACAGAAUGAACUUCCUUGAAAGUAGAGAAACAUUCAUUGGCUAAGUUAUGUGAGAAUAGGAAUGAAUGAUGCAAACAGUGGCAGAAAUGCUGAUGGAAGAACUGAUAGAUGCAGAUCUAUUUUAGAGACCCCUUAACUGCCAGGGGACAUGAAUUGCCUGGCUGACUGAAUUGACUCUAGAAAUGAUGCUGUCUGGCUGCUAAGUAUACAUAUUUGAGAAAAAGGUGUGUGAGGGCAGUGUCCAUUUCAUUACUUGCCAUGAGUCCUCAGGGCUUAGCAGAAUACCAGGCAGAUACAUGCUUUACAAGCAUGUGUUGAAUGAAUGAGAAAAUGAAUAGAAUAAUAUUUUCAUGAGUAGCCAUGGAUUGAGGUUAAAAUUAAAAAGAAGAGCCCCCAGGAGGUCUUGAUUGAGCCUUAUGCUUUCGGUCACUCUUCUGCUCAGCUUUGUGGAAUAAUUUGCAGCACUAGAAAUGGGCUUAACAACUAGGAUGAGGGGGUUUUGUUUUUGGGAUCAAACCUUUUUUCAUCAUGAAAGCUACUGGGUGGCCUCUGACAUGAUGUGUUUAGUUAUCAAACAUGUCAGUUAAUACCAUGGAGAGAACACAUGUAUUAAAAGUGACAGAUAUAACAAGGGUCAAGGAUUAAAGGUGAAUUGCAAAGGGCUUUUUACUGCAUCUCUGUUGUUAUAACAGUUUCUAAUAGGUUGGAUACAUGAACAAAAAGAAUGAUGAGGAGUCCUGGUGAGCAGAAUCUCUCUUCUCCAGCAAACCAGGAACUUUUCCCCCCCACAUUGAGCUAAAUGUUCUUUAAAUGCUAUAAUUGUUACUACGUAUCUGUGCUGUUUGUGAGACAGCACAAACAUAUUUGAAACAUUCAGCAGUUCUUUCUUAUUAACUUUCAUUGGUUAUAUUUUCCUUGUUACAAAAGUAUUAUUGGCUCAUUAUCAAAAAUUAAUGAAUAAAAACACCAGUAUAGACAGUUAAAAAGUGGAGUAAUGUAGUAGCCUAAAUAUGACAUUGUUAGCUGUACAUUCCUACAGUUUCAAUUGAAGAUGGCAUUUUAUCCCUUAAUCAGACACAAAGUACUGUUAGAGAACUUCCUUUUUGCCUACCACUACAUUGUAUGCUGUGGUAUAUGCAGGAAUUCCCAAUACAGACAUGGAAAUGAUGAAUAAAUGCAAGGGGAAAUCUCAUUGCAUAUCUCUCUGUCCAGCAGGCGAAGAUAAUAUUAUGCUGUGCAGUGGUGGUAAUUAGAGAAUAUCAUGUGACUGUGAGUUUUUGAGGACAGUGGCCAAUAUCUGUAUCUUUGUAUCCCCAAGGGUGUUGGCUAAAACGUUCAGUUAGCACUUUGAAUGAAUGAAUGCUUAUUGAGUAAAGAGUCAACUGCAUGUGACAAUAAAUGCAGUAAGAAUUAGUCAAGAGGGAAACAAGUGUGGCCUGCAGUCACCAACAGAAGUUUGAAGUUCCAAGCUACCCAAAUAUCUGUGUUAAUCAUAUGUUUAAUCAUAUUAUUAAAGCAUUUAGAUUAUGAUGUUUGGAAGUUGUGUGCAAAACCAAGAAAAAUUUGAGCAAGUUUUUGAAGUUCCUUUCUAUUCUCUGAUUUAUCUGCUGGUUAUGGUGUUAGGGCUAUUACUGUCUUACAGAUCAGUUCUACACUGUAGUAAUUAACUGGGUAAUGAAAGCAAAAAGUAAUUAGAAGCACUAUGACAUAUGAAGGAAUUAGUAUCACCUCCCCAGAGGCUUCUCUGUCUCUUCAGCAUAAUCUCUGCCUCAGUUAAACUUAAACUUAGGUGUUUACUGCCUCAAAAGCAAGUAUUUCCCUUGAAAAGCAGAUUUAUUUAUUUCGUUUUUCUUUUUUGAGGUGGAGCCUCACUCUGUCACCCAGGCUGGAGUGCAGUGGCAUGAUCUUUGCUCACUGCAACCUCUACCUCCUGGGUUCAAGCAAUUCUUCUGCCUCAACCUCCUGAGUAGCUUUGACUACAGAUAUGUGCCACCAUCCCUGACAAUUUUUUUUUUUUUUUUGCAUUUUUAGUAGAGAUAGGGUUUCAGUAUGUUGGCCAGGCUUGUCUCGAACUCCUGACCUCAGGUGAUCCACCUGCCUCGGCCUCCCAAAGUGCUGGAAUUACAGAGAGAAGCUGCAAGUUUUGUAUUAGCUGAAUGUUAUUAUUCCUCCUCAAACAUUUUAGGAUAAAGAUAUAAUGUGAUAGUUUUAGGUGACUUUUUGUGUGUAACAUUUGAGCUCUAAGGAUAAAAAUAUAUCUUUCUAUAUAAUACAUUUCAAUAUCUAUUUAAUGUGCCAGUUGUAAGAAUUUUCUGACUGACAUUGAUCAUUUUCCUUGAGAAUUAAGUCAUUUCCUUCUGGGAAUUAGUAUAAUAAAUUUAUCAUAUGCUUAAGGGCCUUGACUAAAUAAGUUCUCUUCCUCACUAUUUAUUCAAAUGUAAUUCCAUUGAAAAUCUGACUGCUGUUUUAGAGAUUACAGUAAGGCAAAGCAUUUCUCAGAAGACAAAUAUAGACUCUAAAGUUACUAUAAUGACAUUUGGCAAAUUACAUAAUCUGAGUUCAUUUUUUUCUCUUCUCUCCCUCCUCCCUUGUCACAAAGCCUACAGGAAGACAUACUACAUAUUUUGACACUAUUUUUUUUUUUUUUUUUGCUUUCAAUAGCUGUAUUCUUACUCACCGCUUUUAAAUAAGAUGUCUUUCUUAUGUUUUUUAUCUCAACGGUAUAUUCAGAGGCUGGAAGACUUGAAUGGAGACUGGCUACCCAGAUAGAGCCCCCUUUGUGGUGUUUUCCUUGGUGAUAUGAUUCUCAGGACUACAGGCUGAGAACUGUGAUUUUGCUAGCAGACUAGGUAGAAGUAGAUCUGUUUCUCAAAAUGAGGUUCAUGUUAACAUCAUUCACAUGUUGUAUUAAACACAAACCAGAGUGCCAAGAUAUUAUUUACAAUGAGCAAUAUAACUGUUAAAUUGGACAUGGUGCUCAAGUCAACAACAAUUCACAGACUCUUCUCCCGGUAGAGAAGCAACAUGGGGAUCCAAAUUGUAAUCAGAAUGCCAAAUUAUCAAUUUAUAAUGAGAAAUGCAUCUGUCUGAUGAGAAUGUUUAGUUAGCCCGAUAAAUUCAUUGUCUCCCUGUAGAUGAGUGACACAAGAUGCCAAAUUUUCUGAAAGUUGCUAGAGAAUACGGCUUUAAAACAAUGGGAAGAUACAUCUUAUGUUCUGUCUUCCAAUUAAGAAGGUUUUAACAUCCCCACCUCUACCAGGCUGGCCUCACCCAGAAAACAAUACUGCUUUAGUCUCUAUAACCAAUGUGGGUGCAAUAAUGUUUAUUUUCUGCCUUUCUUUUUUCUUUGCUUUUCUCAACCAACUACCUCUCUCCAAUAAAUGUGUAUGACACAAUUCAUUAGGCUUUUGUCUAUCAUAGUAUUAAUUCAUUGAGUAUCAAUCAUAUUUCAGACUUGCUGCCCUAAAAUUACUUCCAUAUUAUCUUUAUUGAUAUCAGGGCUAUGUUCAAACGUACCAAUCAAACAUGUAUAGUUUACUGACCUAACCUCACAUUUAUUUAAUUAUAUAUUUUAUUUUUAAAUCCUGCAAAUCAACUCAUUGCAGUCCUUGGCACUGAAAAUACCUCUAUUUCUUCACUGCAUUUCCUGAAGUGGCAAAAAUGCCAAGACUAUGAGACCCAAGGGGAAAUAAUAGUGUUUUCUGCCCCUAGUGUUUAAUGCAAAUUGAAGUGAAAAUAUGGCUUGCCUUGGAAAAGUAUGAAAAGCAGUAACAACAACAAAAAUAAUCUAAAAUCUUGAUUCUCCUCUUUUGGAGAUGGCAAAGCGAUAGUAAAGUUGAUAAAGAGAUGAUUUGGGGAAUGCAGGUACUUUUUUGCAUUAAUGAGUAGACUGACUUCUAACAUCUCCUGGAUCUAUUUGUGAAUUGGCUCCAGAAUCUCUUGCUAUCAUCUACCCUACAGCUGGAGACACACCAUCUCCCAAUAGUUUCUGGGUCACCUUCAAAGACGUCAGCUUCUUCACCAUAAAGAUGGCAAAAAGUAGAAUAAUUGCACUGUAUCUUUGACCUUUGAUGAGAAUUGAUCAGUUUCUUUUUCUAAACUGAUAUGACAAGCACUUCUAAUUUAUGUUAAUAGAUCCCUUUAUAGACAUAAUAUGUUUAUAUUUAAAUCCUAAGAUAAUCUGGAAUUAUGGAAUUAUACAACUGUAUAACAAUAUUGUACUUGAUCAGUUACUGCUUUUCUUUUCCCAUUUAUUUAUUUUGUAUUGAGUCCUACAUUGGCAAAAGGCCUGGUGCAUUGCAUUGAGUUCUGCAUGUUUGAACUUCACAAAGGUUCAAAGGUUUGCACAUGGCCUGGAACGAUAAACAUUUGUCCUAAAGUCAUUCUUCAGCUUCUGACAUGGCUUGUGAUUUAAUUGUCACCUCAUUAAUAUGGGCCAUUGGGUGUGAAUUUUUCAAAACAAGAUACAUCAAGAGAACUGAGUGAAAUGUUUCAUGUUCAGAGGUUUUUACCACUCCUGUUCCCCGCUGCCGAUGUUUUGUAAACUUUCAACUUCAACAGACUGGUUUGAUAAACAUACCCUGUCUUCUAGGUCACUGGGUUAAGGAUCAGUUCAGUCUUUUUGAACUUUUCACUUUUCCUGUAUAAGUAUAAGCGAAGUACUUACUGGGUUCCAAAACUGAAAGCCUAUGAAGAUAAAGGGCCUUAUUGAAAUAGUGAAGUGAGAAAAAUAUCUUUAUGGUUCCUGACCUUGUCCUCCUGGGCUUUGUCCUUCUAUUAGUGAAUGACACCUUGCCCUCAGGUUCCCUGUAUUUAUACCUUUCUAGUGUUUUUGCAAUUUAGAAAAGUGUGUUUAAUAGACCAAUAGGGUGACUGUUGUGUACAAAAAUCUUUCUAUUUCAAAAUAACUAAAAGAGAAUAGAUUGAAUGUUUCUAGCAUAAACAAAAGACAAGCAUUUAAGGUGAUACGUAUUCCAAUGACACUGAUUUGAUCUUUACAAAUUGUACAAAUGUAUUAAAUCACCAUAUGUAGCUCAAAAAUAUGUACAACUAUUAUGUAUCAAUUUAAUUUUUUUUAAAAAGGACACGGUGAAGGAACAUAAUUAAACUUGUUUAUUUAAUUGCUAAUCAUCAAAUUUUAUAGGGAAGGAAGAAGAAAAUCUUCAGGAACUGAAACUUGUAAGUCAAGGGGCAUGGCUGUAUUUAAAGGCUAUUUAUGAAGCCCUCUAUAUAAAAGUUAUACAUAGCCUAUAUAAUAAAUAAGAACCUGACAUUAUACUGGUACCUAGCACAAUGCACGCAUUGCACACAAAAAGCACUUUAUGAUUACUAUUAUUAUACACACAAAUACAUAUUUACUUAUCAAAGUAUUACAUCAUUGCUCACACGAAGCCGUAUCAAAAUACUGCUGAUGAAAUGUAUAAGUCUCUUGCUCUGUUCUCCUCAAUGCCAUUCUCUUUCACUAGAGAAAUCUUUUUAAUUCUUUUUAAUUUUUAAAUUUUUUACUGGCUAUGUUAGGCAUUCUGGUAGGGCACUCAAUUUCUGAAUCAAUCAGAGUUAGGUAAUUCAUUCUGCAAUUGGGAAGAUGGAGAUUUUGCUCAUUUAUACUUGACUCUCCUUCUAUUAAUCUUCUCCUUCUAUUCAUGUAACUGUAACAUAGCUGCAAGCUGUAAGUAAAACACUUAAUACCAUUUUCUUAUUCUGAUGUCUUGCAACAAUAUCUCUUUAUUCCCCAUGAGAUGAAAUGAAGUUCUUGGUCUCAUACAGUUUCCCCAACUUUUUCUCACUCGUUUCAGGCCCUGCUUCUGUUGAUCACUCUUUCUGUGUUUAGAUUGUUGAUAUUUGCACUUUCUGCAAAAAAUACAAUGGUCUUUUCCCAAAGGUUAACUUUAAAAAUGGAGCAAUAAACAGUAUUAAUAUUAUUAAUGGCCACAUAAAUAUCAUUUAAUGUUAGGUAAAAAGUAUGUUAGGAUUAUGUUUUUUAAGAGAUUGGUGUCAUGACCCAUAACUCACUGAAAAGAAUUCCUAGCAUUUGAGUUCAAAUAAAUGAUUAUUUCCUUAUAUUUAGUCAAUUGCUUAAAAUUAAGCUGUGUUUAUUUUAUGUAUUGUUUUCCUUCAUCAUAUCAUCAUUUUUUUUUAAACUCUCUCUCAUAUUAUCUAGUCUAUUUGGUCUAGUUUCCCCUACUUCAAAUAGGACUCCCUUCGAGAGUCCUAUUUUUCCCUGCUUCAUACUGGACUUACAGCUCCAAGACAUCCUGCUUUAUUGCUAAUCUCCUAAGUUUGGUGUUACUGGUGUUAUUGAACUUCUUGGUUAGAUCUGAUGUUUUGAUAGCUUCCUAUUUUUUGAAUUAUCCUUUGGUUUUAUUAUAAUACACCAUAAAGUAACUUCCUAAGAGAACGCAAACAGGAGGUAAAUGUUCUGUUUCUUACAUACUCUCAUAUUUGUGUGACCCUUUAGCCAACUAUAAAAUUCUAGGUUGAAAGAGUUUUCCUUUCAAAAUUUGAAAGCACCACUCCAUUGUUAUUAAUGAGAAAUAAACUACUAGUCUUACUCUUCCUGUUUCCCUUUUAGGAGGGAAAACUUAAAAAUUAAAACUUUUAGGAGCAUCUCAUUAUUUUAGGUAUUUACAUGUCUUCAAUGACAUAGAUGAGAACCCCUUUUGCACUUAUUACAAUGUGCACUCAGUAAAACUUCUUGGUCUAUAAAUUAAAGUCUUCCUUUGAGCUAAGGGAAAUUUUAUUUCCGUCUUUUCUUUAAUUUUUCCUCUCCUUCAUUUCUCUCUUCUCUUUCUCUAACUUUCAAAACCUGGAUGUUAGAUCUUCCAGAUUUAUCCUUUCUCAUGAUUUCUGUCUUUAUACUUUGGUCUAAUUAGCAAGAGUUCCUUUGCUGUGUUUUAGUACUUCUACUGUUCUGUUUAUUUAUUCCAACAACUAUGUUUUUGGUUUCUAGGAAGUCUUUUUUGCUCUCUAUUUUAACUGUCCUUACCUUACAUUUUUAUUUUUUUGUAAUAGUUUCUCCAAUUUGUGUAAGUUUAUCAGAGUUUCUAUUUUCUUCCUUCCUUUCUUUUUUUUCUUGCACUAUAUUUGUUUUCAUCUUGUCCAUCUUAGUCUUUCUCCAUAAUAUUUCUGGAUCUCGUAAUAUAUUUGUUAUGCUCAAUUGUCUAUUUGUAUUUAAGCAGAAAAAUGUCAGACUGCUUUGGUUUUCUUUUGAUCUAAUGAACUAUUUAUACUUAAAGCCUUUAUCCUGAGUGAGAACUGUGGGAAUAGAGGAAAGCAGAAGGGGCAGGUGAUCAGAUAUAUUAAAGAGGUGAAAUUUGGCAUCAAUGAGCCUCCACCAUAAGAGAAUGUGAAAAUUGCUAUUCCCAGAUGCCAGCAUCUAACUAAAGCCUUGUUUUCUCCUGGGAGGUAGUUCAGUUUUUUAGAUAACAAACAAUAAUUUUUGUUUUGCUUUGUUUUGGUUUUUGGUUUGGGGGGUUGCAUAGUUACUAUUUUUUUCAGAUGAUGAUGAUUAUUUGCUUGGAAUUAUUCAUGUUGUUUGUUUCCUGACAUCUAGAAUGGAGAUGAUGGAUGGCACAGAACAGCAUAGUAGCUGUUUUAUGUAUGGAGCUUACACUGGGUUUUGUUUUCAGUCAUAGCUUUUAUUUCUACCCUUGGACUCCCUGAAGUUUUUGUUUUCUUUUUAUUUCUUCAGGGUCUCCUGCCAAUUUUGUAGUCACUGUAUAGCAUAUUUUAGACUGCAGCUAUUCUGCCUGUUAAAUCUUAAAAUAGAACAGUAAACACAAUUAUGACCAUGUAAAUAAGUUAAAACUGAGUCAAGAAGUAUGCUAAGUUUUAAGAUUUUUUUACUUUCAGAGACCAGUGUCAUGAACUUCCUUCCCAUCAUCCACCUUCACUGUCAUCCCAAAACAGCACCCUCUUUCUUGGUCAUGAUUUACUUCAUUUGUGUUCUGCUAACUUGUUUUAUACUACACUUAUGUUGUCAAAAUAAUUCAUUUAUAUAUAAUUUAAUUUUGUGUAAAUAUUUGACAUAAAAAUACUUAGCAGAAUCUCUCAAAGGAGUGAAGGCAAAAAACUUUUCUGAUUCUUAAUAAUUACUUACCUAGAACAUCACUGAAUCUGUAGUCAAUGAAUGGGAUUCUGAAUUCCUGGACAACAUAUUCUUAAUUUUUAAGUUUUAAAGUACCCCCUUUAAAGCACCAGACCAAUAGUCAAUUAUUAUUGUACUCACCUCUAAUAUUGCAUUAUUCCUGAGUAUGCAACAAAUAUUUGGUCCCUGGAAUUUAUCUUCCCUCAUACAACUAUUCCUCAGUGUAUCAUUUUGUGAUGACAUUUUCUUCUGAGCUUUCUUUACCGAUUUGAUAGGUAUACAGUUUUUCCCAAGAUGCUACAACAAUGCCAGACAAUUCCAGGCUUUCCCGCCUUCCUCUUGUGGUCUGUAAAAACACAUACACUAGUUUGUCGUGUACAGUGUUGUAUGCCCUCUGCCCUUUCACUGGUGAUGUUUUAAAAUGAGCAUUGUAGAAGACCAUGAAUCACAGCAGACAGGUUCCCAGUCCUCUGCUGUCUCCUGAUGUACAUUUUUUCUCUUGUCACAACUAGGAAAGUCAUAUUUCAGUGUUUCGAUUUUGGUGAAUGCCCACAGCAAGGCUAAUGAAGGAAGGAGGCACAAUAGGAAGCUGUUGGCCAGGUGAACUUUUAGAAGACUCUUGAAAGUAGAAGAAGAUAUAGAAAAUGCCUUUAUCACUUAUUGAGAAACAUGAACUACAUUCUUUGUUGUGUUAUAUUAAAAUGUAAAUCACAGGGAUAAAUUAUAAAAAUAAAACUUAACCAAACCAUAAACAGGAGGAGGUAACAGAGGACACAGUAGAUUUCCUAGAAAAUAAUAUUGCAGGACAGACAUACAAGUACCCAAGAUAAUGCAAAAUUCUAAAACUCCCUUAGCCAAGUGUGGAGCACAAAAGUUCUCCUCAGUUCAUGCACUUUUGAGGUAUGUCAUUUGGAAAAAAAGCAUGCUAUAGGAGAUAGUUUUAUUGUGUUUUGUGCAGUGACCUUUUAAAAGGGAAAGGUCCUUUCUGAGAUAUUGUGAGUUCACUCAUGCAUCUAUCAUAGAAUUUGCUUGAAACGAAGUGUGCCUGUCACCCCAACCUUUCUUCAGAGCAAAGCCUGCUUUCUCAAGAAAAGAAAAAUGCUUUAAGAAUGUCAUUCAGAUGGAACAGAAAGAGGUCUUCCCACAUUUGUCUUGCUAUGAAUCAACAGGACCUUCUGGAUUUUGAAAAGUAUAGUAAGAAAUAUUUUUUCAGACCUCAGAGUUGGGGGAACUAGUUUUGUUUAGCUUUGUACAAAUUUCUAGCAUUAUUUGUACAGAUGUGCUAGUGAUUCCGCUGCCUCUUGCAAUCUUACAGCCUCAUGGAGAGUUGAAUAAAUGGUCAUUGCCUGGGUAAAUGAGGACUCUUUCUAAAGUGUUCAAGAGUGGGUCACAUAGAGGGGAAUACCUUCUUCCUGCAUUUAUUUUCAAGUAUCUGUUUUCCUCUAUUCUAUUCUUUUGUAAGGGAUUAAUUUCAUGGUAGUCCCUUUCCUUUUCUCACCUCUUGAUAGCAUGUUAUUCUAAGUGAUUCCUUUGGAUUAUUCUUUAGGUCCCAUUAAAAAAACAGUGCUGGUUUUUCAUUCUUGUUCUCUCUUUAUACUUAAUGCAGAUGCAAUUCAUAUUUGUUUUAUCAAAGUCAUUCGAUAACCUCUUCAAUGACAAAUUCCUGAUUACAGUUGUAUUCUCUUUUGGCAAUCCACAGGGGUUGAAAUUACUCUAAUUUUUGGUACUGUGUAUUAGGUUGAGAUAAAAAACCUUUAAGAAUAAUCUUUUCCUGAUUGAAUAUCUGGAGAAAAAGUACUGAGAAAGGGUGGGAAAAGAUGUUGCACUAUAUGUAAUAAAAGCUAUAAAUGUUGCAUUUUUGUAAACUGCAAAGAUGUAAAUGUUCCUUAAUUAUUUUUAGUUGUCAGACUUAUGUUCCAUUCAAAUGUAUUUCCAGGCUGAGAUAAUUUGAAUGAUGGCCAGCUCUAAGUUGAAUACCAAACUUUAAUUAUUUUUCACUUGAUUAAGAACAAUUUAAGGUGAUAACAGAAUUAUGUAGGGUUCAUUGAGUAUCCCCGAAGUUGGGAACAAUAAUAUAGAAUACAGAAAAGAAGCUCCGAAGAAAACAGCUGUAACUAACCCAUUUGGAAAAAGACCUAAAUCAAAAUAAUAUUUAGUGAAAGAAAAAUACUUUCAGUGAUCAAAUUAUUUGUCUGACCAAUGCUUGAUGGAAAGAUUCCACAUUACUAGUUAUUUGUACUGGAUUUUUCAGUCUGGUAUGAAUGAAAGGGGGUAGAUCUUAACAAUUGUCUCAGGACAAUAGAUGUUAAACUGAAUCUAUUCUGGGAAAACCAGGAUGCCUGGGCCCCCUGGUAAUAGUACAAUUGUCAUACAUCUGUGGUAUAAGCACACAAAUACUAUCUAUUAAUGAAAAAACCAUUCAUCUAAGAAAACUUUCAGUCAAAAACUUUCUAUAAAGCUGUGAAGACAUGUUAUGUCAUGUAUUAAUUUAAAAUCUUUAAGAUGAAGAGCAUCCCUUCAAUGAUUAGGAGAAACAGAAGAUGGAAAUAAAGAUUUUGUUACUUACAGGUCCUGACUGGGGGCAGUACAUGGCAUGCCUGGAGACUGCACAAGGAGAUCAGGGAGUGUGGAAAGGGGGAAUGUGGACUGGGGCACUUGUAUUUAUUGAAGGCCAGGGUGAGAAACUGAAGUGUCAUAGGACGAGGGGAGCAAUUGGGUAAUUUAAAGCAAGCAGGCACAAAAUUCGAAGCAAGCCAGUAUUAAAAACCCUUUCUGGCAAAGAAAUGUUGUCUAGAAAUAUACCUAAGCCAAAGGCUGAGUGUGUGGGUUCGGGUUGAGAGCUACCUCGUCUCACCAGAGAAACAAAAAGGAGAACUUAUCAUCUAAGUUAAAUAGCCAAACAAAAUGGAUGCUGAGGCCACAUAAAAUUAUAAGAAUUAUGAGGUCAAGAUGAUACAGAAAUUCUGGACUUGGUAUAAGGAAGUACUGCAAUGAAUAGCAGGAAGUUAGGGCAGACUACUUCUAGUGUCCUGAGUUUUCAGGUUUCAUCUGGCUGUCAAAAACAUUUGUUCCCUGGAAUGUGAUAUAACUGGUGAUGCUGGCUGGCAGUGCCCCUACUAAUGACUUAGCAGAUGACUCUGAACUGACAAUUUGCCAUCCUUCAGCUGUCCUGGUAAGAAGGAUUCAGUUACCAGCAUGCACAGCACAAAGCAGAAUCCAAACUAUAGAUUUUUUUUUCAAAAACUUAUUGUUAAAGUCUGUUAUUAACAGUUUCGUAAGAAAGGGCUUUUUAAUGCAGAAAUGUUAUAGAGUAUCAUGAAGGAAAAGUAUUUGCUAAGGCCAGGCUGGCCCAAGCUAAUCCCUUUGGGAAUAGCCUUACAUAUUUCGGGGAAGUGGAUCAUUUACUUGUAAGCUACACCUGUCAGCCUCCCUUUUCUACACUUGACAGCUCUUAAACCCACAAUGUAAGAAUUACCGUGAAAAAAUAGACAUUAGUGUAAAACUUUAUGUACUUCUUACAUAACAGUCACAUAUUAGGCGCACAUUUUAAGUACAGACACUGAAACAGCAAUGCAAUUUAUCGGGGAAACUCAAAAUGCUAUAGAAAAAUUUGACUUGGAAAGCACCAAAAAUGGACCUAAUGCAAGUAAAGUAGAAAACAAUGACAUUUGGAAAUAGUCUUGUUUUCUCUUCUUCGUGGACUUGAUUUAUGAAUAUAUGGAAUUUAGACUUUGCUAUGUUUAAAAAAUAUGAAAAUGCACAUAAUGAUUCCCAGGCUACUCCUGAUCGUUUAGUGAUGAUUUGUACAGGAAAAAAAGUGCUUGGGAAGGGGAAGAACUUUGUGGCCAUCGAUAUUUGACCCUGAGCUUGAACUUCACCUUUGGAAGUUAUUGUCAACCAUUUAACUUUUAGAAGAUCCUUUGCACAGCAAGAGAUCUCCUCCACCUUUAAGGUUAAGACAUUAAACUUGGUUUGAAAAAAUUACUUUUUCAAGUACAUUAACUAUGUUUUAUAUAUUAUCCAUACACGAUUACUAAGAAAAUAUAAAAAUUUAUUCAUAUACUGUUAAAUUGGCUCUAAAGAAAAGAAUCACCUUUUUAAUCCCAUUGAGAUUUAGUUUGGCAAACUUUUCAGAAGCUUAUAAAGACGAAAGUACCUGGAUGUAUUUCUCUGUAAACUUUAGCUGUUAACAUCCCUUUUCAAUGCUUGUGUAGUUUCUCAGAACAGAACCUAACCUUCAAGAUGAGUCAUUUGUUCCCAAACUCGAAUUGUUGUGAAACACCCUCCUUGGGUUUCCGUCCCUUGCUGAAUAUGAUUUCUAAGAAUGGGAUGGCAUGGUUGGUGUAUGAAGGUCAUUUGUUCUACAGGUCAGAAGGCCUGUGUUCUCAUCAUUAAUUAACUUUGUGAUGUUGGGUAAAUCACUUAAUCUCUACAGUUUUAUCUUCAGUUAAAUAUAAAAGAAAGACUUUGAACUACAGUUUGUUUCUACUCUAAGAGCUUGAGAUAUUUUAUCUUGGUGACAUCAUGGCUCAUGGGCAUGCUGAGAUCAGAUUAGCAAUUGCAAGAACAGUGGUUAUAGGGUGAAGAAACCUGGACAGGAUGUCAGACUUAACCUGGGAAAUAAAAUCAGGGACUGUGGUAAAAGUCAAACAAUACGUUAGCACAGUAUGAGAUGCCAGCAGAUGACGAAGCCAACAAAGACAUACAUGAAAGGCUGUGGGGUUAUUUCUGGACUCAAGCAAGCUAGUCUCAAUUAGGAGAAAAGCGGAGGGGCUGGUGGAGUGGAGGAGAGAAAGUCAAUAAUGACGCGAUAGUUCCAUCCUGGAUAAUUUCUUUGAAAGUCAGGAGUUCCAAUCUGUGUAUGGCCUUAUGCCUUCCAGGGUGAAGGAAACAGUCCUCUAAAAAACCUGACUCUGUUCUUUGCUUAAGCUUCUUUAUUAACCAGGCCAAGGUGAGGCAUGGGUUUCAUGCCCCAUUGGUAGUGGUGCAAGCUGUCAUAUUCUGGGUAUUCAUAUCUAAGUAUGCUUUUAAAUCAUAUUUCUCUCUGAUACUGUUAGCUACAAAAAUAAGUCUUAGUACUAUUGCCAGUGGUCCAAUCCCAAUGGUGUGGUUGAGCAUCUAGUUCAUUACUCUGAGCUACGACUCUUGAUGAAGAUGAAGGGUGACACAGUAUUUGUCUUUGUGAAGAAGGUGCAUGUGGAAUACUUGAUGUCCUUGGUGAGAUGGCAGAACUUAAACCACAAGGAGAACAGGAAUUAUGAGGAAUGGUAUCAGAAAGUUUUUUCCAGCUUGAUAGAUGAGAUGGAAAGCAGAGUGGCAGGAAGGGGGCCAAGUACUAUCUCCUUGAAGGAGGGAUGAAAAGUCCUCAGGGGCUGUCUGUCACAGGCAGGAGACUUAUACCAGAACUGUGUUCAAUGAACUUAUCUGAGUUUGACACAUAAUCCCCUACAGCAAGACAAAGAGUAGUAGAUGAAUUACACACUUGGAUACUGUUGGGAGAGAGGGGUAAAAUCCAAGAUGGAAUAGAGCGUAUGUUAUGGGAGAUCAUGAAUAUCAUGGGCUUUGAGUAUUAGAGUUAUGAUGUGAUGAAGAAUCAGCUUGAGACACAGUCUUAUGUUUGUUUUGGCCAUCUGCCUGGAGGCAAGGUGCAGAAAAUGCUUAUACUUGGACAAGUUGUGAAUUAAAUAGAACUUUCUAUCAAUAAUGAACUGGGUGUCAGAAAUCAAGACAUCAUGAUUGGGAAGCUGUGGGGCUGGGGAAUUUCCUUGGAAAAGAGGGGGACUCUAAAUGGUGCUAGUGAGGUGGCCUAAGUUUUGGCAGUGAAGUGUGCCCUUUUUGGGAGACUGUACCCUGGGGUAAGGAAACCUGUGACCCUGAGACUAGAGCCAACCCAUGGUAGAACCCAAGUGUGUAGAAACCUUGGACUUGAGGGUGUUGGCAGAGUGAGGGGCACUCAAACCACCCAGAGACAUCCUUCAUCUGAGAAUGAGUUUUCUAGAUCUCCCUGCAGUGUUUUUGAGGACUUGAGUCCUAGCUGAGCCUUCUGUGAUGCCUCCUAAGUCCUAUCAGUGUGGUGUGCCCACACAUUUUUCUCAACAAAAGUUGCAGAAAUAGGAAUGUAACUAGUGCAACUCAUCUGCAAUAGAGAGCCCUGUGUGGUUUCCAGCUGGGCAGUAGUUUAAAGGAUAGCCCUGUGAAUCUACUCAAAUGGUGUCUUUACUUAAGAUGUCAAUAAAAGGUGGUAAACUUGGGAAUCUCUGAGAAACAUUGAUCUAUAGUGGAAAUUACAUGUAUUUAAGUAUUAAGGUAGUAAAUAUAUGUUGAGAACAUACUACAUGUCAGAUACUGACCUAGGCAUAGAGCAAUAAAAAAUCUCCCAUGGGGAAUUUAAGACCAAGCCACACGGACCUGGAUUCUACUAAUUUCCAGUUUGAUGCCUUGGAGAGGUUACUUGAAUUUUUCUGAAUGUCCAUUUUCUCAUAUAUAAAAUGGCCAUUAUAACCCUGCUCUGCAAGACUGCCAAUUAGAUGAUAUAAUAGCUUUCAAAUACCUGUUAAAGUGUCUAAUAAUCUCAUUUAGCUACUCAGUAAUAAGUAGCCAUAAUUAUUUUAGCAAAUAAUAUUUAAACUCAUAGAAAAAUUGGAAAGUGCUGCACUGGCUUUCCUAUUUUCCUAAUGGCCAUCGUUAUUUAUCCAGUGACUCAGUGCAGAUUUUGAUUCAUUUUCCUUUUCAUAACCAACGUAUCAGAAAGUCCUGUUACUGUUAUUUCUACUUCAAAAUGCAUCUCAAAUCUGUUCACCUCCCUCUGUUUCAGUCUCUACCACCCUAGUUCAAGCUCUCUUCAUCUCCCAUGUAACCCAGAGCAAUAGCUGGUAACCAUGUGCUUACAACACAUUCUAUGCAAAGCAACAGCCUGAGUAUAUUUUCUACAGCACAUAUCAGAUCACAAGGGCCUCUUGCUUAUAAAGGUCCAAUGGAUUUUCAUUGCAUUUGCAAUCCAAAUCUGAAGCUGACAUCAUAACCAGACUUCUCUCAUUCUCUUCCAUUUCUUCUAAUAUCACAUUCCUGCACUAACCCCCUCACCCUGCUUCCUCCAACCUCAGCCUCACUGUGUUCUCAGUUCCCAGCAUACACCAAGCUCUGUGCCACUUCACGGUCUCACACUUGCUAGUCUCUCUGCCUAUGAUUCUCUUCUGGACACUCUUUGCCAAACCACCUCAUUCCUUUCUUUCUGCCCUCAGCCUUACCUCAACCAGCCUGUCAUUCUCUCUCAGCCUCCUCCAUAGCACUUGUCAUAACUUUUGUUUGCUUAUUUACAUGUUUCUCUCAUGUACUGGCCACCACAAAGGUAAAUUCCUAUCUGUUGUGUUCACCUUAGCAUUCUCCAUCCUUGGCUCAAUAGGAAGCACUUAUUAAAUAUUUUUUAAAAUAAAUAAUAUAUUUAUGGUAGAUAAUUGCAGAUUACAUGAUUGUUUAGUUGUUACUCUGUACGAUCAUAGAGUAUGCUGGUUUUAAAGAUUAGCACUUGGUUUAUAUGUGAAUGAACUUUCGAAAUUAGACAUGAUCUUCUCAGUUUUCUUGUCAAAGACUCUAUCUAAAGAUUUGCAUGAGCUAUUCUGGUCCUGGAUAUCUCCCUAUCAGGAAUGCAUUCCUGUUCUAAAUCUGAAUGAAGAUCCACGUUCUAAAUCUCUCAUGACCCUUCCUUCUGUGCUGGUAACUAGGAAAUAUAAAGCACUUUGGAACAUUUCAUUAUUAGUAUUCCCAAUAUGGCAAUGGAAAUGUGGGUAGUGGAAUGAGGCAAUCCAACUGAGGUUUUCUUCAAUGAUAACUCUUCUUGAAAACUACACUCAGUAAGAAAGAAUUCUCAAGCAGGUGCAACGGUGUUUGAGAGAAGCAUAAAUGCAGUGGUUGAGCACAGGUCUUGGAGUCAAAUAAACCUGGAUUUGUAUCUCAGCUCUGUUUUUUACAAACCAUGUAUUUAAACUCUCUGAUCUCUGAAGUGGUUUUGGUAAUUUAAUUAGAUCAUUCGUAUCAUGCAAGUCUUAACAAAUGGUAGCCAUUUUUAACUUUUAGAAGAACAUAAUACAGAAGAAAAAGUUUAUGAGGACAUUGCUAGCUUAAUAUGAGGUUCUUUGAGGGUAAGAGAAAGAGAAUGGAAAGAAAGACAUAGUUCUUUCUUUGUUAAGUUCUUAAACCUUUUCUCAUGAAAAAGAUGUGCCACAUAUCCAUAAUUCAUCCUGGUAAUUAGGUAAACAGUAUACAGAAUAUAAAUCUUACCAUUAAAUAAACUUCAGCAAGUCUCUUUAUCCUGAAGGAAUUCUUAAAGAUUUCAUCAUGAGUAAGCAUUUUUCAGUAUAGAAUUGCCAAAAUACAAAAGAACACCAGAGAACCACUCAAAUUCUAAAAAAAAAAAAAAAAAAAGGAGAAGAAGAGGAAAGAAACCCAAAACCUGUGAUUGAAAAAAGUAAAGUAAAGUAAGAAAAAGAGGCCCUUAGUCAUUCUGUUCCCUUUUAGGCCUAUAUCUUUCAUUUCCUUUGGGAAAUAAAGUUAUAAACUGUGCUGUCAAUAAUCUAGGCUGCUGCCAAGUGAGUUAACCACUCCCAACCCCGUGUCUCCAAAAGAUUCUUUACUACCCUUUGGCCCUAAUUAAAGAAAGAAAAUGUUUUCAGUUUUCCGUCAUGUAUCUUUCCAUGCUGAAUUAUAAAAUAGCUUUCUUGAAAUUCCUUUAAUCAUUUUUACAAAGGAUUAGCAUUAAAUUCACAGAUAAAAAUAAUUUAGUAAUAAUGAUCAAAAUUACCUAACUCCAAUUUGUUUUUACUUUUCUUCUGGGUUUCACUUGCAACCUACAGAGAUAGGAGGACAAAUAACGUAACUGCUUAUAUGAUGAUUUUUUUUUCUUUUCUUUUCUUUUUUUUUUUAACUGUACUUUGGGCUCUGGGGUACCUGUGCAUAUCCUGCAUCCUGCAGCAUUGUUGCAUAGGUACAUACAUGCCAUGGUGGUUUGCUAUCUCUAUCUCCCCCACCACCUGUCACCCACAUUAGGCAUUUCUCCUGGUUAUCCUUCCCCUAUUGACCCUCCCCUCCACUCCCCUUCACCCCCACACCUACCUCAGUGAGUGUUGUUCCCUUCCCUGUGUCCAGGUGUUCUCAUUGUUCCUCACCUGCCUCUGAGUAAAAACAUGCAGUGUUUGGUUUUCAGUUCUUAUGUCAGAUUGCUGAGAAUGAUGGUUUCUAGAUUCAUCCAGGUCUCUACAAAGGACAUGAAUUUGUCAUUUUUUGUGGCUGCAUAGUAUUCCAUAGUACAUGUAUGUGCCACAUUUUCUUUGUCCAUUCUAUCAUUGAUGGGCAUGUGGAUUGGUUCCAGGUCUCUGCUAUUGUAAACAGCACCUCAAUGAACAGAUGUGUGCAUGUGUCUUUAUAAUAGGACAAUUUAUAAUCAUUUAGGUAUAUACCCAGUAAUGGGAUUGCUGGAUCAAAUGGAAUUUCUAUUUCUAGAUCCUUGAGGAAUUACCACACUGUCUUCCAUAAUGGUUGAACUAAUUCACACUCCCAUCAACAGUGUAAAAGAGUUCCUUUUUCUCCACAACGUCUCCAGUAUCUGUUGUCUCCAGAUUUUUUGUUGAUCACCAUUCUAACUGGCGUGAGAUGGUAUCUCAAUGUGGUUUUGAUUUGCAUUUCUCUAAUGACCAAUGAUGAUGAGCAUUUUUUUAUGUUUCUUAGCCAUAUAAAUGUCUUCUUUGGAAAAGUGUCUGUUCAUACCCUUCACCCACUUUUCAAUUGAUUUUUUUCUUGUAAAUAUGUAGUUCUUUGUAGAUUCUGGAUAUUAGCCCUUUGUCAGAUGGGUAGAUUGCAAACAUUUUUUCCCAUUCUUUUGGUUGCUGGUUCACUCUAAUGAUUGUAUCUUUUGCCGCAGAAGCUCUUAAGUUUAAUUAGGUGCCAUUUGUCUAUUUUGGCUCUUGUUGCCAUUACUUUUGGUGUUUUAGCCAUGGAGUCCUUGCCUAUGCCUAUGUCCUAAAUAGUGUUGCCUAGGUUUUCUUCUAGGGUUUAUGUGGUAUUAGUUCUUAUGUUUAAAUCUUUAAUCCAUCUGAAGUUAAUUUUUGUAUAAGGUAUAAGGAAGGGGUCUCAUUUCAGCUUUCUGCACAUGGCUAGCCAGUUUUCCCAACACCAUUUAUUAAACAGGGAAUCCUUUCCCCAUUGUUUGUUUUUGUCUGGUUUGUCAAAGAUCAGAUGGUUGUAGAUGUGUGGCAUUACUUGCAAGGCCUCUGUUCUUUUCCUUCGGACAAUAUCUCUGUUUUGGCAUUGGUACCAUGCUGUUUUGAUUACUGCAGACUUGUAGUAUAGUUUGAAGUCAGGUAGUGUGAUGCCUCCAGCUUUGUUUUCUUUUGGUUUUUGCUUACAGUUAUCUUGGCUGUGCAGGCUCUUUUUUUGGUUUCAUAUGAAGUGUAAGGUGGUUUUUUCCAGUUCUGUGAAGAAGGUCAAUGGUAGUUUGAUGGGGAUAACAUUGAAUCUAUAAAUUACUUUGGGCAGUAUGGCCAUUUUUACAAUAUUGAUUCUUCCUAAGCAUGAUCAUGGAAUGUUUUUCCAUCUGUUUGUGUCCUCUCUUAUUUCCUUGAUCAGUGGUUUGUAGUUCUCCUUGAGAAGGUCUUUUAUAUCCUUUGUUAGUCGUAUUCCUAGGUAUUUUAUUCUCCUGUAGCAAAUGUAAAUGGGAGUUUGCUCAUGAUUUGGCUCUCUGUUUGUCUGUUAUUGGUGUACAGGACUUCUUCACAUUGAUUUUGUAUUCUGAGACUUUGUGGAAGUUGCUUAUCAGCUUAAAGGUUUUGAGCUGAGACGAUGGGGUCUUCUAAAUAUAGAAUCAUGUCAUCUGAAAAUAGGAACAAUUUGACUUCUUCUUUCAUUAUCAAAUGCCCUUUAUUUCUUUUUCUUGUCUAAUUGCUCUGGCUAGAACUUCCAAUACUAUAUUGAAUAGGAAUGAUGAGAGAGGGCAUCCUUGUCUAGUGCCAGUCCAUGAUGAACAUUGAUGCAAAAAUCUUCAGUAAAAUAUUGGGAAACCGAAUCCAACAGCACAUCAAAAAGCUUAUCUACCAUGAUUAAGUAGGCUUCAUCCCAGGGAUGCAAGGCUGGUUCAACAUACACAUGUCUGUAAACAUAAUCCACCAUAUAAACAGAAGCAAAAACAAAAACCACAUGAUUGUCUCAAUAGAUGCAGAGAAGGCCUUUGACAAAAUUCAGCAGCCCUUUAUGCUAAAAAACAUUCAAUAAACUAGGUAUCGAUGGAACAUAUCUCAAAAUAAUAAAAACGAUUUACAACAAACCCACAGCCAAUAUCAUACUGAAAGGGUGAUUUAUUUUAAAUUGAGUGCAAAUUUUUAUUUCUUGAGGCCCCAUUGGCUUCAUGGCAAAUAAUAAAGUUUUUAAGAAUUUAUUCUGUUAAUUUCUGAAAAACAAGGAGCUUCCUGUUGACAACAAUGGCAUGAAUAACAACUCAUAGCUCUGCCCCCCCCCCACACUUUUGAGUUUCAAAACUUUUGAUGAAGUUUUCUGGUUCUUGUUCACUUCUAUUAUUAACAUCUCUCGUGAGAGGGGGCAUUUUGAAUGAAUGGGAUGAAAUCUUCUGAACCGGCUUCUGUCCUAAAUAUAGUGUCUGACAUCAGGUCUGGGGGAAAAAAUUGGGUCAAAAAGAUAGCCUGAGGUUAUUUUUAGGAAGUUAGAUGUUUAGGGAAAUUAAUACUGUGAAAGUUCUGGUCUCUAUCUCUGAGGAUAUUCCAUUAAGAGAUACAUAGAUCUAUUCAACAUCUCGUUUUUUUCCAUUCCUACCCCUUGGGUGUACCGCGUCAUUCACUAUCUUGUGAUUAGAGCAUUAAGCAGAAGCUAGAAACAGAAGAUAGCUAAUGCAACCUUUCCAUUUGGUCCUGUAAUUUUUCUGCACAGAGCUUUAUAGGAUUUCAUUUCAGGUUAACAAGGGGAAGUUGGAACCAAGGAGAAAGCUUAUGCUCUGCCAACAUAUACCAAGGAUUACUAAACUUGGAGGUAGAAAAUAGAACACAGGAAUAAAAAUGGAAAAGUCCUGGCAGAUUUCUCUGCAGCAGACUUCAUCCUUAAAAAGCAGAAUUCCAUCCAGCUCUUCUUGGUGGCAUAAUUCUUCAUCAUGGAAUUAUAGCAUAAAUGCUCUGUUUUUAUGCAUCUCUCUUUUCUAAAGCUGAAUCGAGUGUCUGAAAGACAAACGAUGUGCUUAAUACCACCCUUGUUUUACAGAAGGGAAAUCUAAGAAAACUAUAGCUACCCUCCUGGGAAAACAUAUCUAGGCAUAUACUAACAGUCAUUUAGGCUGCAUCUCUGCACUUCCACACAGAAGGAUAAAUGUCACAUGUUCAUUGAAUGAUCCAGGUGUUUCAAAUAUACAGUUGGUUUAGAUUAGGUAAACAAUGCAUUCAGGUCAUGUGUAAUUUAAUUUUUCAUUUGGAGUUUAUCACUAUGGAGGCAAUCAUAGAUGAGGAAGGUGUUUUUUUUCAUGUCCUAUCUCUUUCAUUUGUCAAGUUCUUUUAAAUGCUGUUAUGCAUGUUAACAGAAAAUAAUAUUUUAUUCAUAAUCAAGGUGGAUGACUUACUGGAUAUCAGGUAUUAUUAACAAAAAGUUUACUGUGUUGUUCAAAUAUUACUAGACAAGGACAAUCUCUAGAAAGUUAACUAAGGUUACUAAGAUUCUAAACAGCCACCACAAACUUUCACAGUUAAUAAUAAUUUCAAAGUUAUUAACAUAACUCUUUCAAGACAUAUUAUACUAGACCAAGGAUGCCAAAUGUAACUUAUUAAUUUCUAUGAUGGCUACUGGGAGACAUCAAUAUUGGUAUACAUUACUCACUGCAAUCCAGACACUUCUACAUCUACUUUUGAGAUUUUUUUAUUCAUCUUUUUAGCAGCCAGGUGUCACUUCUUUUCGCUGUAACAAUUCCUAGUAACAGUUCCCAUAUUCUUCAAACCUGAUGUUAGCAAGGAGGUCAGAUACUCAAGCAUAAUUAGAAUUGAAGAAGCUUGAGCCUCAUAUUUAAGUGUAUUUAAAUAUAUGUUUGAAAAAGAAUUUAUGAGAUUUUAAUUGCAGAUUGAAGGAUAUGAUUUGGUAGCAAAGUGGCUGAAUGAAUGAAAGUCGUUUGAAUUUUCCUUUUUUCUUUCUGUAAAUGGAACCGUGUUCUUGAAAGCCUCUAAGUCUUGAUCUUGUUCCUCAAAAUUCUCAGAGCAGUGGAUGUGGGUCAGGGGUAGGUGUGUCUGGGAAUUAUGAGUAUCUAAUUGAUUUGGUAGCCAUAUUUCUUUUCUUGACACUGAUUAUUGGGAAAUGAAGGGCAAUGCAAUUUAGGCUAUUUCAUUUUCAAUCAAUGUCUGUUACGAAUUCAUGGGAAAUGGCAAUGUGGAAAGAGGAAUAAAUAUUGUAGAUUUCUCUCAUUGUCCUAUACUGGGUGGGAUUUAUAAACAAAUUAUUGACUAUGGGCUAUUGAUGUUUUUUCUUUUCAAUCAGUGUAAACAGCCAAGAGAACUAACUGAUUUAAUUUAAAAAAUAGAUUUGAAAGGCAUGUAGUGGUUAAAACAAGUUACCUUGAUUCAGAUUGCCUGAGUUCAAAUCUCAAGCAGGCUACUUUUUUUUUUUGUGGUGUGCCUUUAGGCAGGGUGCCUCAGUAUCCUCAUAUGUAAAACAGAAAUGUUAAUAACAGCUUACCUCGUGGGGUUGCUGUGAGUGAGUCAAAUGACCUAUGAUAUAUAAUGAGCUAGAACAGUGACUGGCUGAAGUAAGCUCCAUGUAAAUGUUAGUCCUUGAAUAAAAGUAGAGUUCUGGUAGACAUAAUUCCAUAAAAACACCCUUAAACAUUUUUUGAAGUUUCUAUGCCCCCAAAAUAUAAGCUUCCAGACUCUUCUAUGACUGUCAAUAUUUUUUAUACCCAAACCAGGAAAUUAUUAAGAAUCACACCAGAGUAACAGGAAUAAAUCAUGCUGGUCAGGAAAAGGGGUACACUGGUCAUUCGACUUAUAAGAUUACUUGAGUAUUUAUAACAACAAGUAAACAAAACAUUAUUUAGAAGAAGAAAAGUUUACUGAAUUGUACAAAUAUUACUGGACAGGGUAAUUUUUCUCCUUUCUUUCCAAUGUAGUCCAGAACCCCCAUGGAUAUCAAAACUAAAUGCUCAAAUCCCUCAUAUAAAAUGACAUAAUAUCUGCCUAAAAUCCACACACAUUCUCUUGUAUACUUUAAAGAGAUGACUUUUAAUACCUAAUACAAUGUGAAUGUUAUGUAAAU